GAUCCUGGCUCAGGAUGAACGCUGGCGGCGUGCCUAAUACAUGCAAGUAGAACGCUGAUGCUUGGUGCUUGCACCGAGCGGAUGAGUUGCGAACGGGUGAGUAACGCGUAGGUAACCUGCCUCUUAGCGGGGGAUAACUAUUGGAAACGAUAGCUAAUACCGCAUAAAAGUCGACAUUGCAUGAUGUUGACUUGAAAGGUGCAAUUGCAUCACUAAGAGAUGG
rnacentral:rRNA from 1 species